rnacentral:rRNA from 1 species
UACAGAGGUCCCAAGCGUUGUUCGGAUUCACUGGGCGUAAAGGGUGCGUAGGUGGUCAGGUAAGUCGGAUGUGAAAUCUCCGGGCUCAACUCGGAAACUGCAUUGGAAACUACCUGGCUCGAGGGUUGGAGGGGGGACUGGAAUGCUUGGUGUAGCAGUGAAAUGCGUAGAUAUCAAGCGGAACACCAGUGGCGAAGGCGAGUCCCUGGACAACUCCUGACACUGAUGCACGAAAGCUAGGGGAGCAAAGCAGG